GGAUCCUUCCCAAAAGAUCUCUUACUAGUUGGAGUUGGACUUGGCUUAUAUAUUAGAAACUUAUUUUCUAAACUUCAGAUGUGGGACGUUGGUUUGUACCCAACAAUCUCCCCUUCAAACCAAGGACCACGAACAUGGGCGUCCCCUUCAGAGAAACCUUGGGACCAUGACUCGACACCUUCUUAUUUGUGAGGUUCUCUUGAGGUAUCCUUCUUAUCGUGUUACAUGGUAGGCUUCUCCCACACCGAUUAUACAGUCCAAGCCCUAGGUCCAUUUUUUUCAACCCACGUUCAACACCAUUUAUUAGGCUUUCCAAGCCCAUUCCAACUCCCCUUUAGUAUAAUAUUGUCCUUUUUGAAUCUACAUGCUCAAAUCCGCAAGGAUUUGUUAUUGAUCUCCUUCCCAAAAUGUCUCUUA